AGAGUUUGAUCCUGGCUCAGAAUCAACGCUGGCGGCGUGCCUAACACAUGCAAGUCGAACGAGAAAGUGGAGCAAUCCAUGAGUAAAGUGGCGCACGGGUGAGUAACACGUGACUAACCUACCCUUGAGUGGGGAAUAACUUCGGGAAACCGAGGCUAAUACCGCAUAACACCUACGGGUCAAAGGAGCAAUUCGCUUAAGGAGGGGGUCGCGGCAGAUUAGUUAGUUGGCGGGGUAAUGGCCCACCAAGACGGUGAUCUGUAUCCGGCCUGAGAGGGCGCACGGACACACUGGAACUGAAACACGGUCCAGACUCCUACGGGAGGCAGCAGUGGGGAAUUUUGCGCAAUGGGGGAAACCCUGACGCAGCAACGCCGCGUGGAGGAUGAAGUCCCUUGGGACGUAAA
rnacentral:rRNA from 1 species